UGGCUCUGGCAUCGAUGAAGAACGCAGCGAAAUGCGAUAAGUAAUGCGAAUUGCAGAAUUCCAGUGAAUCAUCGAAUCUUUGAACGCACAUUGCGCCUCCUAGCACUCUAGGAGGCACACCUGUCCGAGCGUCAUUUCAGCCCUCACCCCCUCUGGUCUUGUGCCGGGGGGCGGUGGUGUUGGGGAUCAGCUGCCCCCCCGUGGUGGCUGGCCCUUAAAUUCAUUGGCAGCCUCGCCGUAGCCUCCACUGCGCAGUAGUAAAACACCUCGCAGGCGGAUAGCGGAGAGGGUCUCGCCGUAAAACCCCCCAAUUUUCUACAAGGUUGACCUCGGAUCAGGUGGGAUUACCCGCUGA
rnacentral:misc_RNA from 1 species